GAUGAACGCUGGCGGCGUGCCUAAUACAUGCAAGUCGAGCGAACGGACGAGAAGCUUGCUUUUCUGAUGUUAGCGGCGGACGGGUGAGUAACACGUGGAUAACCUACCUAUAAGACUGGGAUAACUUCGGGAAACCGGAGCUAAUACCGGAUAAUAUUUUGAACCGCAUGGUUCAAAAGUGAAAGACGGUCUUGCUGGCACUUAUAGAUGGAUCCGCGCUGCAUUAGCUAGUUGGUAAGGUAACGGCUUACCAAGGCAACGAUGCAUAGCCGACCUGAGAGGGUGAUCGGCCACACUGGAACUGAGACACGGUCCAGACGCCUACGGGAGGCAGCAGUAGGGAAUCUUCCGCAAAGGGCGAAAGCCUGACGGAGCAACGCCGCGUGAGUGAUGAAGGUCUUCGGAUCGUAAAACUCUGUUAUUAGGGAAGAACAUAUGUGUAAGUAACUGUGCACAUCUUGACGGUACCUAAUCAGAAAGCCACGGCUAACUACGUG
rnacentral:rRNA from 1 species